rnacentral:rRNA from 1 species
ACGCUCGACACCUACGGAAGGCAGUAGUGGGGAAUAUUGCACAAUGGGGGAAACCCUGAUGCAGCAACGCCGCGUGAAGGAAGACGGUUUUCGGAUUGUAAACUUCUGUUCUUAGUGAAGAUAGUGACGGUAGCUAAGGAGCAAGCCACGGCUAACUACGUGCCAGCAGCCGCGGUAAUCUGAGCGGGCUGGCAAGGC